rnacentral:rRNA from 1 species
GUGUCAGCAGCCGCGGUAAUACCGGCAGCCCGAGUGAUGGCCGAUCUUAUUGGGCCUAAAGCGUCCGUAGCUGGCCACGCAAGUCCAUCGGGAAAUCCACCUGCCCAACAGGUGGGCGCCCGGUAGAAACUGCGUGGCUUGGGACCGGAAGGCGCGACGGGUACGUCCGGGGUAGGAGUGAAAUCCCGUAAUCCUGGACGGACCGCCGAUGGCGAAAGCACGUCGCGAGAACGGAUCCGACAGUGAGGGACGAAAGCCAGGGUCUCGAACCG